rnacentral:misc_RNA from 1 species
GAAAUGCGAUAAGUAAUGUGAAUUGCGGAAUUCAGUGAAUCAUCGAAUCUUUGAACGCACCUUGCGCUCCUUGGUAUUCCUUGGAGCAUGCCUGUUUGAGUAUCAUGAAAUCUUCAAAGUAAAUCUUUUGUUAACUCAAUUGGUUUCUACUUUGGUAUUGGAGGUCUUUGCAGCUUCACACCUGCUCCUCUUUGUUCAUUAGCUGGAUCUCAGUGUUAUGCUUGGUUCCACUCGGCGUGAUAAGUUAUCUAUCGCUGAGGACACUGUAAAAGGUGGCCAAGGUAUAUGCAGAUGAACCGCUUCUAAUAGUCCAUUGACUUGGACAAUACUUUUAUGAUCUGAUCUCAAAUCAGGUAGGACUACCCGCUGAACUUAAGC